UCGGAAAUGUCUGUCCAAGCAGUAAGUCUGAAGAGGAGUCAAAUGCUUCUUUUCUUAAGGACAAGCUGUGAUGGGGAGGGAAAUAAUAGUACCGAAGUUCCUGAUGUCACACUGCCGAGAAAAGCUUCUAGUGAGAAAACAGCGGCCCGUACCGCAAACCGACACAGGUAGUCGAGGAGAGAAUCCUAAGGUGAGCGAGAGAACUCUCGUUAAGGAACUCGGCAAAAUGACCCCGUAACUUCGGGAGAAGGGGUGCUGAUCAUACGAUCAGCCGCAGUGAAUAGGCCCAAGCGACUGUUUAUCAAAAACACAGGUCUCUGCAAAAUCGUAAGAUGAAGUAUAGGGGCUGACGCCUGCCCGGUGCUGGAAGGUUAAGAGGAGUGCUUAGCGCAAGCGAAGGUACGAAUUGAAGCCCCAGUAAACGGCGGCCGUAACUAUAACGGUCCUAAGGUAGCGAAAUUCCUUGUCGGGUAAGUUCCGACCCGCACGAAAGGCGUAACGAUUUGGGCACUGUCUCAACGAGAGACUCGGUGAAAUUUUAGUACCUGUGAAGAUGCAGGUUACCCGCGACAGGACGGAAAGACCCCAUGGAGCUUUACUGUAGUUUGAUAUUGAGUGUCUGUACCGCAUGUACAGGAUAGGUAGGAGCCGUAGAAAUCGGAACGCUAGUUUCGAUGGAGGCGCUGGUGGGAUACUACCCCUGCGUUAUG
rnacentral:rRNA from 1 species